rnacentral:rRNA from 1 species
AACGAACGCUGGCGGCAGGCCUAACACAUGCAAGUCGAGCGCGCCCUUCGGGGUGAGCGGCGGACGGGUGAGUAACGCGUGGGAACGUGCCCUUUGGUUCGGAAUAGUCCUGGGAAACUGGGGGUAAUACCGGAUACGCCCUUUUUGGGGAAAGAUUUAUCGCCGAAGGAUCGGCCCGCGUUGGAUUAGGUAGUUGGUGGGGUAAUGGCCUACCAAGCCGACGAUCCAUAGCUGGUUUGAGAGGAUGAUCAGCCACACUGGGACUGAGACACGGCCCAGACUCCUACGGGAGGCAGCAGUGGGGAAUCUUAGACAAUGGGGGCAACCCUGAUCUAGCCAUGCCGCGUGAGUGAUGAAGGCCUUAGGGUUGUAAAGCUCUUUCAGCUGGGAAGAUAAUGACGGUACCAGCAGAAGAAGCCCCGGCUAACUCCGUGCCAGCAGCCGCCGUAAUAC